GUGGGGAAUCUUCCGCAAUGGACGAAAGUCUGACGGAGCAACGCCGCGUGAGUGAAGAAGGUUUUCGGAUCGUAAAGCUCUUUCGUUAGGGACGAACGUGCUCUUUGUGAAUAAUGAGGAGUAAUGACGGUACCUAAAUAAGAAGCCACGGCUAACUACGUGCCAGCAGCCGCGGUAAUACGUAGGUGGCAAGCGUUGUCCGGAAUUAUUGGGCGUAAAGCGCGCGCAGGCGGGAUAUCAAGUCUGGCUUAAAAGUGCGAGGCUCAACCUCGUGAGGGGACAGAAACUGGUAUUCUUGAGUGUCGGAGAGGAAAGUGGAAUUCCAAGUGUAGCGGUGAAAUGCGUAGAGAUUUGGAAGAACACCAGUGGCGAAGGCGACUUUCUGGACGAUGUCUGACGCUGAGGCGCGAAAGCUAGGGGAGCGAACGGGAUUAGAUACCCGUGUAGUCC
rnacentral:rRNA from 1 species